ACAAAACUUCCGUCCUCCUCCGCCAUCUUCCACCACGAGAAAGAGCAGAGAAGCGCAAAGGAGGACACUGUAUUUUGUCUGGAAACGUUAGCGAGCUCACUAGAUAUAUCGUUAAUCUCUUUGCAAAAUGAGUGACAUUGAGGAUGGAAACUUCGAUGGACGAGUUAUUGAUCGUGAAGGAUGUGAAGAGUUUUAUCCAAGAAUGUGGAAGAAAAUAUCCAAGAAUAAACGAAGGCUUUUUUGAAAAACAGUUACAGAGCAGAACAUAGAAGUGGGAAGGGGAAAAUGAAUGAAACUGGAAGAUUGGUGGUCAGAUAUAGAAGCGCUUGCAGUGUGUAUGGCUAAAGGUGAAAAUGGUUUCUAUUUGGGGAAGAGAGAACCCGGAAUCAGAAAAUGAAAAUGGAAAAAAGAAGAACGACGAAGAACAGUAGAAUUCCUGAGAGAAGGAAGUAGAGUAUAUAAAGAAUCUGGAAGAAUGAAUGUAUCCCUAGGUUAAGUAAAUGUACAGUAUAUGUGCCAAGUGUCUUUACACUUCUAUGCUCCAUUUCUAUAGUUUAAAAAUGCAUGUUGACUUUAGUUUGACCCAGGUAGAAAAAUGAGACGUGGGAUAUGUUAACAUUGACAGGGUUCUAACAUAUUAUUAAUCCAAGUGAAGGAUUUUUUUUUUUUUUUUUUUGUUAAUCUUCUCUAUCAUAUGUAAUAGACGUGGUGGAGCGCUAACCCUUUCCUCCACAGUGUAUGAGCUCUAGUGGUUUAUGUCUGGCUUUGAAAAGUUGCUUGUGUGUGUUCCUUCUGAGUAAUGUGUGUUAAGUAUAAGAGUAGGCCUCUUUAACACGCGGCUACUGUAACAUUAGGGCUCUCGCUCCCCAUCCAAAUCGGACCGUGGCAGUCCUGUCCGGGUCAAGUCAGAGAGCAGAUCCGGCUCCGCGAGCCCAUCCAGGGCCGCCAAACACUCAGAGUCUCGGUCCCGCUCUAAGUCCAGGUCUCGCUCUCGGAGGCACUCCAACCGCAGGUACAGCCGCUCUCGCUCCCCCUCCAACCGGAAGAAGUCCCGUUCCUACAGCCCAGAAUACCGGAAGAAGAAGAGCCAAAGCGAGUCACCUAACCGCCGCCAUACCAGCAGCAGAAGCCAUGACUUCAGAAAAGAGACAUUCGGUCAGGGAGCAGGAGGUGAUGAGGAUGCCAGGGUGAACCCUGACCCCAACCAGUGCCUGGGGGUGUUCGGGCUGAGCCUGUACACCACGGAGAAGGACCUGAGGGAAGUGUUUGGCCGGUAUGGCCCGCUGGCCGGGGUUAACGUGGUGUAUGACCAGCGCACCGGGCGCUCCCGUGGCUUUGCCUUCGUCUACUUCGAGAGGAUCGAUGACUCCAAGGAGGCGAUGGAGCGUGCCAACGGUAUGGAGCUGGACGGAAGACGUAUCAGAGUGGACUUUUCCAUCACCAAGAGGGCCCACACCCCUACGCCUGGCAUCUACAUGGGCCGACCCACACAUAAUGGUGGUGGUGGUGGUGGUGGUGGAGGAGGAGAGCGAAACAGUGGCAGCAGUGGUGGAGGGAGGAGGGGCCGGGACUCGUACGACCGAUACGAUGAUCGACGGGGCGGCUACGACCGUGGAUAUGACCGUGGAUACGAUCGGGGAGACCGAGGUGGAGACCGGGGAUAUGACAGAUAUGACGAGUACGACAAGUACAGGUGAGUUAUACUCAGGAUGUUGACUUUAUUCAAGAGAUUCACAUUGGAGAUAACCUUAAGUAGCUACGAAUAUAUUUGGAAUAAAAAUAUUCUAUUUUUCCCCCGUAGGGUUAACUCAACAUUGUUCAUGUUAAAUUUGAGGGGAUGAAUGGGGUUACUUGUCCAAUGCUGGCUAAUAUUGUGAGUUAUUCCUUCUUACACUAGUGUACAUCUUUUUGUUCUCUCUCUCCCUCUUACAGUCGCAGGCGCUCUCCCUCUCCCUACUACAGUCGAUACAGGUCACGCUCCAGGUCUCGCUCAUACAGCCCACGACGAUACUAACAGACUUCCAUCAAGAUUAAGUUUUCCUUUUCUUCGUGACCCACAUUGGAACGGAGCCGUUUGGGAUCUUUGUCAAGCUAACUAAAGUGUUUAUCAACAGACAAAAAUCUCCUCUGUGACUUAGCACGAAAGUCAGAGUUCGGACAGAGAGUCAGUCAUUUGUUUACGUGCUGUAGAUGUCUUCAUUUUUUAAACUUUUCGAUGCAUCCGUGUAGUGUUUGCUAAAGACCUAGAGGGUGGUAAUGAAACUAAUUGAGCCUGUGUUGAGUGUCUUUAGAACGUACCCUUCUCCAUCACUGAUCUGUAAGUGACUGUAUAAGUGGAAGCAUGGUAUACAUUUUAUUGCUUUCACAAAUCCAGCCUUGACAGAUCAGUGAUUAUCUCAUGGGAAGAAAGGAUGUAUUUAAUAUUCAAAGUAUUCAAACAGGCUUUUUGGUUUUAGUAGGAGGAAAUGUGAAAUGAAUCAGUGGAUUGAGGAGAGUCUUCUUUUUUGAGUUGGUUGUUUAUUGUCGGGAUACCUCCGGAGAUUUUUAUUUAGAUGUAUGAUUUUUUCUUUUUAUGAAAAUAAAAACCCAAAUCUUGAUG